rnacentral:rRNA from 1 species
ACAUGCAAGUCGAACGAUGAAGCCCAGCUUGCUGGGUGGAUUAGUGGCGAACGGGUGAGUAACACGUGAGUAACCUGCCCUUGACUCUGGGAUAAGCGUUGGAAACGACGUCUAAUACCGGAUACGAGCUUCCACCGCAUGGUGAGUUGCUGGAAAGAAUUUUGGUCAAGGAUGGACUCGCGGCCUAUCAGCUAGUUGGUGAGGUAACGGCUCACCAAGGCGACGACGGGUAGCCGGCCUGAGAGGGUGACCGGCCACACUGGGACUGAGACACGGCCCAGACUCCUACGGGAGGCAGCAGUGGGGAAUAUUGCACAAUGGGCGAAAGCCUGAUGCAGCAACGCCGCGUGAGGGACGACGGCCUUCGGGUUGUAAACCUCUUUUAGCAGGGAAGAAGCGAAAGUGACGGUACCUGCAGAAAAAGCACCGGCUAACUACGUGCCAGCAGCCGCGGUAAUACGUAGGGUGCAAGCGUUGUCCGGAAUUAUUGGGCGUAAAGAGCUCGUAGGCGGUUUGUCGCGUCUGCUGUGAAAUCCCGAGGCUCAACCUCGGGUCUGCAGUGGGUACGGGCAGACUAGAGUGCGGUAGGGGAGAUUGGAAUUCCUGGUGUAGCGGUGGAAUGCGCAGAUAUCAGGAGGAACACCGAUGGCGAAGGCAGAUCUCUGGGCCGUUACUGACGCUGAGGAGCGAAAGGGUGGGGAGCAAACAGGCUUAGAUACCCUGGUAGUCCACCCCGUAAACGUUGGGCGCUAGAUGUGGGGACCAUUCCACGGUUUCCGUGUCGUAGCUAACGCAUUAAGCGCCCCGCCUGGGGAGUACGGCCGCAAGGCUAAAACUCAAAGGAAUUGACGGGGGCCCGCACAAGCGGCGGAGCAUGCGGAUUAAUUCGAUGCAACGCGAAGAACCUUACCAAGGCUUGACAUAUACGAGAACGGGCCAGAAAUGGUCAACUCUUUGGACACUCGUAAACAGGUGGUGCAUGGUUGUCGUCAGCUCGUGUCGUGAGAUGUUGGGUUAAGUCCCGCAACGAGCGCAACCCUCGUUCUAUGUUGCCAGCACGUAAUGGUGGGAACUCAUGGGAUACUGCCGGGGUCAACUCGGAGGAAGGUGGGGACGACGUCAAAUCAUCAUGCCCCUUAUGUCUUGGGCUUCACGCAUGCUACAAUGGCCAGUACAAAGGGCUGCAAUACCGUAAGGUGGAGCGAAUCCCAAAAAGCUGGUCCCAGUUCGGAUUGAGGUCUGCAACUCGACCUCAUGAAGUCGGAGUCGCUAGUAAUCGCAGAUCAGCAACGCUGCGGUGAAUACGUUCCCGGGCCUUGUACACACCGCCCGUCAAGUCAUGAAAGUCGGUAACACCCGAAGCCAGUGGCCUAAC